GAGGGCACUGUAAUUUCUUGAUCUUGAUAACAUGGAGGCCAGGCGCUGUGCAAGAGAGGGAAAUUAGCAUCUUUUUUGUAAUGUAGUUGUUGCAAUGGAUUACCCCGGUGGGCUUUCAGAAGGCCUUCCUUCAUGGUUACAUACCAAGUUUUGACUCGCUGGUUGAUGACGUCAUUGAGCAUUACUCAAAAUUUAAAGACUGCCUAUGAUGUCAUCUCUUACAAGCAUAAACCCCGUUUACAAACCGCC